rnacentral:lncRNA from 1 species
GGCCGCCGACCUCCUCUGGUGUCUUUCCCGGAGUGGUGGGCUUUUCUCCGGUCUUGGGGGCGUGCGGGGGUGGGGGACACCUGUUCUUCUGGACUUCUUGUCCGGAAGAUUGCUACCUCUGCCUUCAGUCUUAGCUGCGAGAGUUUAAAAAGCCAGGCUGCUGAGAACUAGCCCUAGACCUCUGCGUGAGGGUUCUUCUGCCGAAGACAUCACCAGUGUGUGGAGCCUGCCACACCCACCCGCUGCCAAACCACGGCCUUUACCUGUGUCUUCCGGUGUUUCCCGUGCGACCCAUCCUGUGGGAGUGCCUCGUGGGCUGCCCCAGAGUUCACCCCACACUCAGCAGCACCAAUGGUGAAGAUGACAAGAUCGAAGACUUUCCAGGCAUAUCUGCCCUCCUGCCACCGGACCUACAGCUGCAUUCACUGCAGAGCUCACUUGGCCAAUCAUGAUGAACUAAUUUCCAAGUCAUUCCAAGGAAGUCAAGGACGAGCAUACCUCUUUAACUCAGUAGUUAAUGUGGGCUGUGGGCCUGCAGAAGAGCGAGUGUUGCUAACAGGACUGCAUGCAGUCGCAGACAUUUACUGUGAAAACUGCAAAACCACUCUGGGCUGGAAAUACGAACAUGCUUUUGAAAGCAGCCAGAAAUAUAAAGAAGGCAAAUACAUCAUUGAACUAGCACACAUGAUCAAGGACAAUGGCUGGGACUGAUUGGACAGCAUCUACCCAACCCAGUGUCCACGUGAACGCCAUUCAACCGAACAUUCUUCCCAAGCGUGAGAGAGUGACUGACACUUGGUUCCAUCCAUUUAGGGGCCUUGCCAUCCGGGGCAUCCUCCCACCCUGACGCCAUCUUUCUGGUGACCGGCCUCUAAAUCGCUGUCUCUCUGUCUCUUUGCUUUGUAUCUGUUUGUGAGUUGAUCCUGGCUUCUCUCUCUGUUCUAGUUUUGGCUGAAAACAAAACAACAAAAGGAACAGAUCCUUGACCGCAUGGCGGCAGCCCACCUUGGUAAGGGCCCCAGGGCCCAUGCGAGAGCUGCCUGAUGGCCUCUUGUCAGGAGAGCAGUGGCACGGGGGCGUGAGGAAGAGGGAAAGGGGAAACUCUAAGGGUCCUGGCGCGGGGAAGGGGUGGAAGGGUGGAGGUAGGAACAAAAUUGCGCCGCUCCUGGAGACCUGAUAACUUAGGCUUGAAAUAAUUGACUUGUCUAAAAGGAC